rnacentral:rRNA from 1 species
GACAGAGGGUGCAAACGUUGCUCGGAAUUACUGGGCGUAAAGCGCGUGUAGGCGGGUCGGCAAGUCAGGCGUGAAAUCCCUAGGCUCAACCUAGGAACUGCGCUUGAAACUGCCGGUCUUGAGUGACGGAGAGGAAAGCGGAAUUCCUGGUGUAGAGGUGAAAUUCGUAGAUAUCAGGAGGAACACCGGUGGCGAAGGCGGCUUUCUGGACGUCUACUGACGCUGAGACGCGAAAGCGUGGGGAGCAAAC